GAUGAACGCUGGCGGCGUGCCUAAUACAUGCAAGUCGAGCGAACAGACGAGGAGCUUGCUCCUCUGACGUUAGCGGCGGACGGGUGAGUACCACAUGGAUAACCUACCUAUAAGACUGGGAUAACAUCGGGAAACCGGAGCUAAUACCGAAUAAUAUAUUGAACCGCAUGGUUCAAUAGUGAAAGACGGUUUUGCUGUCACUUAUAGAUGGAUCCGCCCCGCAUUAGCUAGUUGGUAAGGUAACGGCUUACCAAGGCAACGAUGCGUAACCGACCUGAGAGGGUGAUCGGCCACACUGGAACUGAGACACGGUCCACACUCCUACGGGAGGCAGCAGUAGGGAAUCUUCCGCAAUGGGCGAAAGCGUGACAGUGCAACGCCGCGGGAGUGAUGAACGUCUUCGGACCCGAAAACGCUGUUAGUAGGGAAGAACAAAUGUGUAAGUAACCAGGCUCGUAUUGACGGUACCGAAUCAGAAAGCCACGGCUAACUCCGUG
rnacentral:rRNA from 1 species